GGCCAGACUCCUACGGGAGGCAGCAGUGGGGAAUAUUGCACAAUGGGGGAAACCCUGAUGCAGCGACGCCGCGUGAGUGAAGAAGUAUUUCGGUAUGUAAAGCUCUAUCAGCAGGAAAGAAAAUGACGGUACCUGACUAAGAAGCCCCGGCUAACUACGUGCCAGCAGCCGCGGUAAUACGUAGGGGGCAAGCGUUAUCCGGAUUUACUGGGUGUAAAGGGAGCGUAGACGGUGAAGCAAGUCUGAAGUGAAAGGCGGGGGCUCAACCCCCGGACUGCUUUGGAAACUGUUUGACUGGAGUGCAGGAGAGGUAAGUGGAAUUCCUAGUGUAGCGGUGAAAUGCGUAGAUAUUAGGAGGAACCCCAGUGGCGAAGGCGGCUUACUGGACUGUAACUGACGUUGAGGCUCGAAAGCGUGGGGAGCAAUCAGGAUUAGAUACCCGAGUACA
rnacentral:rRNA from 1 species